rnacentral:rRNA from 1 species
UUAAAAUUUUGUUCCUGGUUCCAGGAUGAACCGCUGGGGGCCAUUCCUUAAUCCAUGCAAGUGGAACGAGAAUUCAUAGAGGGUGCUUGCCCCAUUUUGAUUCUAGUGGGCGAAACGGGUGAGUAACACGUGAGAAAUUGCCCUUUAGAUGGGGAUAAUUACUGAAACGGUUUGUAAUUCCGGAUGUCUUCUUUGUACCGCAUGGUAUUUAGAGAAAAGCUUAGAUGCACUAAAGGAUGAUCUCGCGGCGUAUUAGCUAGUUGGUGAGAUAGUGGCUCACCAAGGCAAUGAUACGUAGCCGGCCUGAGAGGGUGACCGGCCACACUGGGACUGAGACACGGCCCAGACUCCUACGGGAGGCAGCAGUAGGGAAUCAUCGGCAAUGGGGGAAACCCUGACCGUGCAAUGCCGCGUGAGUGAUGAAGGCCUUCGGGUUGUAAAACUCUGUUGUGAAGGAAGAACAACCUAGAUAGAAUCUAGGUCUGACGGUACUUCACCAGAAAGCCAUGGCUAACUACGUGCCAGCAGCCGCGGUAAUACGUAGAUGGCAAGCGUUAUCCGGAUUUAUUGGGCGUAAAGGGUGCUCAGCUGGUUUAUUAAGUUUGUAGUUAAAAUUCGAAGCUCAACUUCGAAGUGCUGCGAAAACUGGUAAACUUGAGUACAGGAGAGGGUAGUGGAAUUCCAUGUGAAGCGGUAAAAUGCGUAGAUAUAUGGAGGAACACCAGUGGCGAAGGCGGCUACCUGGCCUGUAACUGACGGUCAAGCACGAAAGCGUGGGGAGCAAAUAGGAUUAGAUACCCUAGUAGUCCACGCCGUAAACGAUGAGUGCUAAGUGUUGGAGGGUUUCCGCCCUUCAGUGCUGGAGUUAACG